ACUUUAAUGUGCGCGCGCGCGUCUUGCUUCCAACACUGGAGCGGAGAGGAUGUUGCUAUGGGAAACGAAGCUACAACACGACACGACACCACCUGAAAGACACAACACGACUUCUCUCAAGCUGCCGUUUUGACUGUUUUCAGGAGUGAGAGAAUAACCUCCUACUACAGAAAAUAUAACUCAAGAUUCCUAAAUUUCUGAAGGGAGCUGAUCACAGAGAUACAGGAAAGACAGAUAACUUUAAGCAGAGGAUUAAUUCAUAUGAAUUUCCAUUGCACAUCAUUAUGCACAUGUUACAUGUCUAUAUAUUAUGCAUCUGUUACUUGUCUUUAUUGCAGUUGUUUUAAGAAAGUUUUGACACUGAAACAUGUUAGUGGUAUUAAAUUUCACAUCACAUGAUUCUUCAGAACUUAGUAAAUAUAUAGAUUUGCUGCUAAUGAAGUAAUAUUUGUGAUUUUCAUUUUGUUUAAUUUUUUAUGAUUAAUUGAUUUAUUAAAUCUUAGAAAAAAGUUUACACUAAAUUAUUUGUCAUCACAUCUGUUUUUAGCAUUGAUAGCAAUCCGAAAUGUUUCUUGAGCAGCAAAUCAGCACCAUUUGAUAAUCACCAUUAUAUUAGUUCAACCUCAAGCACUAAAUCAACAUCUUAAAAAAAGAUUUCUGAAAGAUCAAGUGACACUGAAGACUUGAGUAAUGAUGCUGAAAAUUUAGCUUUACAUCAUAGCUAUGAAUUACAUGUAUAUUUACACUGUUCACCCAUCCCUUACACCUUAACUCAUCCUUAAGUCAAUUUAAGCCCUAAAUGAAUAAUUUUUGAUUUGUACAGGCAUGAUAUGCAACUUGUAUUCAGUCGUUUUGUUUUUUCUUUCUUUUGCUUUUGUUUUCCACAUCAACUGAAAAGGAGGUCUAAGUUUAACCUAAGUGCCGUGUUGCUGAUGAACAUCUUUAUAUUCCCUUUAUUAAUCUGGGGUAACCACAGCGGAAUGAACUGUCAACUUAUCCAGCAUAUGUUUUACGCAGUGGAUGCCCUUCCAGCUGCAAGCCAUCACUGGGAAACAACCAUAUACGCUUGUUCUCACUCAUACACUACAGACAAUUUAGCCUACCCAAUUCACCUGUACCCCAUGUCUUUGGACUUGUAG
rnacentral:lncRNA from 1 species